AGUAAAAAGGAUAGAACCCUGAACAAGCACGAUCUCAUCUGAUCUUGGAAGCUAACCAGGGUCGAGCCUUGUUAGUACUUGGAUGGAAGACCAGGUGUUGUAGGCA
rnacentral:rRNA from 1 species